rnacentral:rRNA from 1 species
CCUACGGGGGGCAGCAGUGGGGAAUAUUGCACAAUGGGGGAAACCCUGAUGCAGCGACGCCGCGUGAGUGAAGAAGUAAUUCGUUACGUAAAGCUCUAUCAGCAGGGAAGAAACACUGACCUUACGGUCAGCAGACGGUACCUGAGUAAGAAGCCCCGGCUAACUACGUGCCAGCAGCCGCGGUAAUACGUAGGGGGCAAGCGUUAUCCGGAUGUACUGGGUGGAAAGGGAGCGUAGACGGUGCGGCAAGUCUGGAGUGAAAUGCCGCAGCUUAACUGCGGAACUGCUUUGGAAACUGGCGAACUAGAGUGCGGGAGGGGUAAGCGGAAUUCCUAGUGUAGCGGUGAAAUGCGUAGAUAUUAGGAGGAACACCGGUGGCGAAGGCGGCUUACUGGACCGUAACUGACGUUGAGGCUCGAAAGCGUGGGGAGCAAACAGGAUUAGAUACCCGGGUAGUC